AGAGUUUGAUCCUGGCUCAGGACGAACGCUGGCGGCGCGCCUAACACAUGCAAGUCGAACGAGAGAGAGGGAGCUUGCUUCCUCAAUCGAGUGGCGAACGGGUGAGUAACGCGUGAGGAACCUGCCUCAAAGAGGGGGACAACAGUUGGAAACGACUGCUAAUACCGCAUAAGCCCACGGGUCGGCAUCGACCAGAGGGAAAAGGAGCAAUCCGCUUUGAGAUGGCCUCGCGUCCGAUUAGCUAGUUGGUGAGGUAAUGGCCCACCAAGGCGACGAUCGGUAGCCGGACUGAGAGGUUGAACGGCCACAUUGGGACUGAGACACGGCCCAGACUCCUACGGGAGGCAGCAGUGGGGAAUAUUGCACAAUGGGGGAAACCCUGAUGCAGCGACGCCGCGUGGAGGAAGAAGGUCUUCGGAUUGUAAACUCCUGUUGUUGAGGAAGAUAAUGACGGUACUCAACAAGGAAGUGACGGCUAACUACGUGCCAGCAGCCGCGGUAAAACGUAGGUCACAAGCGUUGUCCGGAAUUACUGGGUGUAAAGGGAGCGCAGGCGGGAAGACAAGUUGGAAGUGAAAUCUAUGGGCUCAACCCAUAAACUGCUUUCAAAACUGUUUUUCUUGAGUAGUGCAGAGGUAGGCGGAAUUCCCGGUGUAGCGGUGGAAUGCGUAGAUAUCGGGAGGAACACCAGUGGCGAAGGCGGCCUACUGGGCACCAACUGACGCUGAGGCUCGAAAGUGUGGGGAGCAAACAGGAUUAGAUACCCUGGUAGUCCACACUGUAAACGAU
rnacentral:rRNA from 1 species